rnacentral:rRNA from 1 species
GAUGAACGCUGGCGGCGUGCUUAACACAUGCAAGUCGAACGAAGCACUUUAUUUGAUUUCCUUCGGGACUGAUUAUUUUGUGACUGAGUGGCGGACGGGUGAGUAACGCGUGGGUAACCUGCCUUGUACAGGGGGAUAACAGUUGGAAACGGCUGCUAAUACCGCAUAAGCGCACAGCAUCGCAUGAUGCAGUGUGAAAAACUCCGGUGGUAUAAGAUGGACCCGCGUUGGCUUAGCUAGUUGGUGAGGUAACGGCCCACCAAGGCGACGAUCCAUAGCCGACCUGAGAGGGUGACCGGCAACACUGGGACUGAGACACGGCCCAAACUCCUACGGGAGGCAGCAGUGGGGAAUAUUGCACAAUGGGCGAAAGCCUGAUGCAGCGACGCCGCGUGAGCGAAGAAGUAUUUCGGUAUGUAAAGCUCUAUCAGCAGGGAAGAUAAUGACGGUACCUGACUAAGAAGCACCGGCUAAAUACGUG